rnacentral:rRNA from 1 species
CCUACGGGAUGCAGCAGUAGGGAAUCUUCCACAAUGGGCGAAAGCCUGAUGGAGCAACGCCGCGUGGGUGAAGAAGGUCUUCGGAUCGUAAAACCCUGUUGUUAGAGAAGAAAGUGCGUGAGAGUAACUGUUCACGUUUCGACGGUAUCUAACCAGAAAGCCACGGCUAACUACGUGCCAGCAGCCGCGGGAAUACGUAGGUGGCAAGCGUUAUCCGGAUUUUUUGGGCGUAAAGGGAACGCAGGGGGUCUUUUAAGUCUGAUGUGAAAGCCUUCGGCUUAACCGGAGUAGUGCAUUGGAAACUGGGUGACUUGAGUGCAGAAGAGGAGAGUGGAACUCCAUGUGUAGCGGUGAAAUGCGUAGAUAUAUGGAAGAACACCAAUGGCGAAAGCGGCUCUCUGGUCUGUAACUGACGCUGAGGUUCGAAAGCGUGGGUAGCAAACAGGAUUAGAUACCCUUGUAGUC